CCUACGGGUGGCAGCAGUGAGGAAUAUUGGUCAAUGGGCGAGAGCCUGAACCAGCCAAGUCGCGUGAGGGAGUACUGCCCUAUGGGUUGUAAACCUUUUUUGUCGGGGAGCAAAAGCCGGACGUGUCCGGCUGCGAGAGUACCCGAAGAAUAAGCAUCGGCUAACUCCGUGCCAGCAGCCGCGGUACUCCGGGGGAUGCGAGCGUUAUCAGGAGUUAUUGGGUUUAAAGGGGGCGUAGGCGGAUUUUUAAGUCAGCGGUCAAAUCGUGGGGCUCAACCCCAUCCAGCCGUUGAAACUGGGGAUCUAGAGUGUGCAAGAGGUAUGCGGAAUGCGUGGUGUAGCGGUGAAAUGCAUAGAUAUCACGCAGAACCCCGAUUGCGAAGGCAGCAUACCAGUGCACAACUGACGCUCAGGCACGAAAGCGUGGGUAUCGAACAGGAUUAGAUACCCGAGUAGUC
rnacentral:rRNA from 1 species